GGCGUAAAGCGCAUGCAGGUGGUUCAAUCAGUUGCGAUGUGAAAUCUCCUGGCUCAACUGGGAGAGGGCGUUCAAAACUGUUGGACUAGAGUACUGUAGAGGGGGGUAGAAUUUC
rnacentral:rRNA from 1 species